GCUCGGCUCAGCGCGGGGGCGGGACAGGGCAGGAAUGCCCCGCCCACGGGGGGGUCGUCGCUGGCUCCUCCCACUCUGGGCCGCGGCGCUCCCAGCAGUCGCUAACAUGGGGCAACCUCUGGCCAGGCAGCAAGGAAAAGGUUCGAAUCCCGACGGCCCCGGGCCGACGCUUCUGGAUACCAUGGGGCUGAGAUAGCAGCUGAGCCCCAGCUUGAAGUAAAAGUCAAGAAUCCCAGCUUUCUGGCUGGCAGUUACUACCAACUAGCCCAACCUGACCACAGGUGUGCGGGGACGGCUGCGUGUCAUCCUCCCUCCAGGACCUGGGCUGACAGAG